GAUUGCAUUUAUAUUCUCUCUGCAAUCGCGGCUG
rnacentral:ncRNA from 1 species